ACCAGGAAGAUACUGGAACUAAAAAUCACAGAAUUUUAGGAGCUAGGUGUUUAAUCUGUCACAGGAUAGGUUGAAAAUAUUGUAAUAUUAACCUCAAAAAAUCAUAUUCCAAGAAUAUGGGAGCUAAUGGUAAAUUGGACUACAAGGAGUUUCCUUACAGAUUUUUACACCAAUUAAAGAGCGUCAAAGAAUUCUGUUUUUCUGGAAAUAACAAAAAGUAUCAUGAUGUGUUGAAUUUCAAUGAUGAUUCUUGAAGGCAUUUAGAACUUAAAUGCACUGGGUCUUUAAUGUAUUUGUAUGUAUGGAGUUAAUGAGGAUCGACUCCUCGAGUCCAGAAUAGAUACCGCGAUACUGCACACAUCGUGGGCUCUGACGUCGCGCCUCUGACGUCACACAUCACCUCUCUGGGUCCAGGUAGCUAUGAGGACGCGUCAGGUCCAGCCCCACGGGAGGCGCCUCCCACAGCUCCCUUCAUGUUUGUCCCUCCCUUCUCUUUAACUCACCUGGUCAGGGCUUCCCGGGCCUCAGGGUGCCGGAAAUUAGGCCAAGGGAGUGCUUGUUUCAGUGAAGCGGGAAGGAGGGAAUUGGACGGAGGAACGUGACGGUACCACUCUAGGCCAUGGAGAUUCACGUGGCGCCAAGUGUCGGGGUAAGGCACUCUCUGUGGCCGUUGACGGUCAAGUGAUUCACCUUUAUGUGAUUCACCUUUAUGCACCUUUCGUGUACACGUCACGUGACGCACAGAACGCUGGGCCCCUGGGGAAUGUUUCUGUAACAAUGGUCUGGCGGUUGAUACCUUCAUUGUCUGUACAAUGGUCCACCCACUUUUUUUUAGCUGGGGUCAUGAUUUGUUCGCUCAGAGAAUUGCUACUGUCACGGUGGUGGAGUCAUAUGUGCACUGCUUCUUUCACGCAGGCCUCUGGAGGCACCAGAAGGUGCUCACUUUUGGAGCUAGGGAAGUCGGGUCAGCUAGAUUCCACCACUGUCCUUCACUCCUGUUGGGACUGUCAGCCUGGUGGAGUGAGCUGCCAGCUGAACUUUGCUAUCCUGCUAAGACUUUUUCUGCGGUGCUUCCCGCAUGUGAUCUUACCACCAUCAUCUGGUCAGUUUGGCCCACCUCUCAACUAAAGCAUAAACCCCCUUACACGCCCUUUUUUAUUGGGCCCCCUUCAGGCUGAUAAAAACAGUCUUUUUCAGUGGUCUUCAGCCUUUAUUUGAAAAAUGUGACAGCAAAGUGGAUGCCUGAGACAAUUCACCAUUGUUUGAAGACUCUUUGUUGGAACCAAAAUUGAUCUCAGAAAUGGGAUACCCUCUAUUAUCGAGAAACUUUUCAAAAACAGAAACAUCUCACUCCUCAGACUGCUGAAAUGCCUUUCUGUGACCUGAAGGCUGUGAAAUACAUGGAGUGUUCCACAUUCACACAGAAAAACCUAAAGGAUGCAUUUGACAAAGCACUAGUGACUGCCUCAGAGGCUGUGGAACUGAAGAAAAGCCAUAGGCAGAGGUGCCCACUGGGCUUUGGACACAGCAUUUUCCCAACAUCACUGCCUGGUAUACUCUAUUUGAGGGAAAAUUACCAACCUGUUAUUGAGUGCUGGUGGACAUUGAGAAGCCAACUAAGUAAGUAAUAACAUGAUAUGUUAUUCUCUGACAUGCCCAUUCUGGAAUAGGUCAAAAAUUUUAAAAUGCCAACGAAGUGGGUAUUGCCCAGCAAGCAUGCAUUAUUAAAUGGAAACGAUAUUUCCAGAAAAGAAGCAAGACUUGGUGUAUUCUUUUCUAUUACUGCUGUAACAAAAUAUGACAAACUUAGUGACUUAAAACAAUCUUGUCUUACAGUUCUGAA